GACGAACGCUGGCGGCGUGCCUAAUACAUGCAAGUAGAACGCUGAAGGAGGAGCUUGCUUCUCUGGAUGAGUUGCGAACGGGUGAGUAACGCGUAGGUAACCUGCCUGGUAGCGGGGGAUAACUAUUGGAAACGAUAGCUAAUACCGCAUAAUAGCAGUUGUUGCAUGACAACUGUUUAAAAGGUGCAAUUGCACCACUACCAGAUGGACCUGCGUUGUAUUAGCUAGUUGGUGGGGUAACGGCUCACCAAGGCGACGAUACAUAGCCGACCUGAGAGGGUGAUCGGCCACACUGGGACUGAGACACGGCCCAGACUCCUACGGGAGGCAGCAGUAGGGAAUCUUCGGCAAUGGACGAAAGUCUGACCGAGCAACGCCGCGUGAGUGAAGAAGGUUUUCGGAUCGUAAAGCUCUGUUGUAAGAGAAGAACGAGUGUGAGAGUGGAAAGUUCACACUGUGACGGUAUCUACCAGAAAGGACGCA
rnacentral:rRNA from 1 species